AGAAGUCAUAGGCUUUGGAGAAGGAGCUGGGGUGUGGCUGGACAGGGCAGAAAAGAAAGAAAGUGAAUGUAUUUUACAAUGGAUAUUACUGGUAAUGAAGCUGACCCAUUAAGAACUUAUUAAGAACCCCUCUGUCAGGCCAGCAGCCUCUCUCCAGGAGUGGCAAAUAGAUGCUGCCAGAGCUUGUGCACCUGGCCCCUAACUACAAAUCACUCCCCUUUGUGCUGCCGACUCAAUUGGAUUAAGAGUGUGCUAAAACAGCAUAAGGCCUCUUUGUGACUCAGUUGUCAAAUGAUACGUCAGAGAAACCAAGUGUUGGCCAGCACUUCCUUACCUUUGCUCUACCUCACAUGGGCUUCCAAAACCCAGAGUGCGAGCAGUUAGAUAUGGUUAUGUGAAAUUACACAUAUAAUCCUUGUACUGUGCAUCUGGUGUUAUGCAUAAAAGAAAUGUGACAAAGAUGGAGAAAUGAUGCACAAUGGCAGUCACUGCACCAAGGGAUAAUCCAAACAAAGGCUUCCUCAUCAUUCCCGGAAACUGCUCCCAUUGUUCUUGCUCUGGCUGCUGCUGCUGAGAAAAUGUAGAGAGGGUUUGAAUGCCAUUGGAAAUCAAAUAUAAUCAAUUGUACAACUUAACUCAAGGCGAUGCAUGGUGUUAUGCAAUACAGAAAAAUAAGUCCUCCAAGUUUCUUG